rnacentral:rRNA from 1 species
GAUGAACGCUGGCGGCGUGCCUAAUACAUGCAAGUCGAGCGAACGGACGAGAAGCUUGCUUCUCUGAUGUUAGCGGCGGACGGGUGAGUAACACGUGGAUAACCUACCUAUAAGACUGGGAUAACUUCGGGAAACCGGAGCUAAUACCGGAUAUAUUUUGAACCGCCUGGUUCAAAAGUGAAAGACGGUCUUGCUGUCACUUAUAGAUGGAUCCGCGCUGCAUUAGCUAGUUGGUAAGGUAACGGCUUACCAAGGCAACGAUGCAUAGCCGACCUGAGAGGGUGAUCGGCCACACUGGAACUGAGACACGGUCCAGACUCCUACGGGAGGCAGCAGUAGGGAAUCUUCCGCAAUGGGCGAAAGCCUGACGGAGCAACGCCGCGUGAGUGAUGAAGGUCUUCGGAUCGUAAAACUCUGUUAUUAGGGAAGAACAUAUGUGUAAGUAACUGUGCACAUCUUGACGGUACCUAAUCAGAAAGCCACGGCUAACUACGUG